rnacentral:rRNA from 1 species
UACGUAGGGUGCAAGCGUUGUCCGGAAUUAUUGGGCGUAAAGAGCUCGUAGGCGGUUUGUCGCGUCUGCUGUGAAAACUCGGGGCUUAACUCCGGGCCUGCAGUGGGUACGGGCAGACUAGAGUGCGGUAGGGGAGACUGGAAUUCCUGGUGUAGCGGUGAAAUGCGCAGAUAUCAGGAGGAACACCGGUGGCGAAGGCGGGUCUCUGGGCCGUAGCUGACGCUGAGGAGCGAAAGCGUGGGGAGCGAACAGG